rnacentral:piRNA from 1 species
UUUAAGUGCCAUUAGCCUGAGGGGCCA